rnacentral:ribozyme from 14 species
AAAUCCACAAGAAAUGGAUAGGAAGUUUAUUUCUUUAUUUAAUUUUUUUUUUCCUUCUUUUCUUUCUUCCUUCCUUCCUUCCUCUUCUAAC